rnacentral:rRNA from 1 species
GAUGAACGCUGGCGGCGUGCCUAAUACAUGCAAGUCGAGCGAACGGACGAGAAGCUUGCUUCACUGAUGUUAGCGGCGGACGGGUGAGUAACACGUGGAUAACCUACCUAUAAGACUGGGAUAACUUCGGGAAACCGGAGCUAAUACCGGAUGAUAUUUUGAACCGCAUGGUUCAAAAGUGAAAGACGGUCUUGCUGUCACUUAUAGAUGGAUCCGCGCUGCAUUAGCUAGUUGGUAAGGUAACGGCUUACCAAGGCAACGAUGCAUAGCCGACCUGAGAGGGUGAUCGGCCACACUGGAACUGAGACACGGUCCAGACUCCUACGGGAGGCAGCAGUAGGGAAUCUUCCGCAAUGGGCGCAAGCCUGACGGAGCAACGCCGCGUGAGUGAUGAAGGUCUUCGGAUCGUAAAACUCUGUUAUUAGGGAAGAACAUAUGUGUAAGUAACUGGGCACAUCUUGACGGUACCUAAUCAGAAAGCCACGGCUAACUACGUG